ACGUAGGUGGCAAGCGUUAUCCGGAUUUAUUGGGCGUAAAGCGAGCGCAGGCGGUUGCUUAGGUCUGAUGUGAAAGCCUUCGGCUUAACCGAAGAAGGGCAUCGGAAACCGGGCGACUUGAGUGCAGAAGAGGACAGUGGAACUCCAUGUGUAGCGGUGGAAUGCGUAGAUAUAUGGAAGAACACCAGUGGCGAAGGCGGCUCUCUGGUCUGCAACUGACGCUGAGGCUCGAAAGCAUGGGUAGCGAACAGGAUUAGAUACCCUGGUAGUCCAUGCCGUAAACGAUGAGCGCUAGGUGUUGGGGACUUUCCGGUCCUCAGUGCCGCAGCAAACGCAUUAAGCGCUCCGCCUGGGGAGUACGACCGCAAGGUUG
rnacentral:rRNA from 1 species